rnacentral:lncRNA from 1 species
AUUUAAAUUUUGAUUUAAAUUCAGGAAGUUCUGGAAAAAGAUAGAUUCUUAUUUAUAUGUAUCUCUGUUUAAGCAAUUCUGAAAAAACAGAUGAUGAUAGCUGGCUUUCUUCAGAAGAGGAGGAACUAGGCUCCAGCCCCAAGAAACCAGAAAAACCAAGUUUGGCUCGGCUAAUGAAAGUUCCAUGGGACUUCUUGAAAAAAUUAGAUGAGAAAGAUUGCACUAUCCGAACAGAACCCUUAGGCAGUUCACAGCAAAAUAAAGCAAAUUAUGAUUUUGAAGAAUGCAAUGAAUCCCUUCCUAAGCCUUUGUUCCAAGUCAAAACCUUCCCUCAUUCUGUCCAUUCCUCACCUGGCU